rnacentral:rRNA from 1 species
GACGAACGCUGGCGGCGUGCUUAACACAUGCAAGUCGAACGGAAAGGCCCUGCUUUUGUGGGGUGCUCGAGUGGCGAACGGGUGAGUAACACGUGAGUAACCUGCCCUUGACUUUGGGAUAACUUCAGGAAACUGGGGCUAAUACCGGAUAGGAGCUCCUGCUGCAUGGUGGGGGUUGGAAAGUUUCGGCGGUUGGGGAUGGACUCGCGGCUUAUCAGCUUGUUGGUGGGGCAGUGGCUUACCAAGGCUUUGACGGGUAGCCGGCCUGAGAGGGUGACCGGCCACAUUGGGACUGAGAUACGGCCCAGACUCCUACGGGAGGCAGCAGUGGGGAAUAUUGCACAAUGGGCGGAAGCAGGAUGCAGCAACGCCGCGUGCGGGAUGACGGCCUUCGGGUUGUAAACCGCUUUCGCCUGUGACGAAGCGUGAGGGACGGUAAUGGGUAAAGAAGCACCGGCUAACUACGU